CAGAGUAGCUAUUUCGCGUUAAGUGUUACACCAUGGGAAGUCGGGUGUAAACGAACACAUUUGUGGCGGUGAAAUAGCGCGUCCGCUG
rnacentral:ncRNA from 1 species